GAAACUGGGGAACUUGAGUGCAGAAGAGGAGAGUGGAAUUUCCACGUGUAGCGGUGAAAUGCGUAGAGAUGUGGAGGAACACCAGUGGCGAAGGCGACUCUCUGGUCUGUAACUGACGCUGAGGCGCGAAAGCGUGGGGAGCGAACAGGAUUAGAUACCCUGGUAGUCCACGCCGUAAACGAUGAGUGCUAAGUGUUAGAGGGUUUCCGCCCUUUAGUGCUGCAGCAAACGCAUUAAGCACUCCGCCUGGGGAGUACGGUCGCAAGACUGAAACUCAAAGGAAUUGACGGGGGCCCGCACAAGCGGUGGAGCAUGUGGUUUAAUUCGAAGCAACGCGAAGAACCUUACCAGGUCUUGACAUCCUCUGACAACCCUAGAGAUAGGGCUUCCCCUUCGGGGGCAGAGUGACAGGUGGUGCAUGGUUGUC
rnacentral:rRNA from 2 species